rnacentral:rRNA from 1 species
AGAUUGAACGCUGGCGGCAUGCCUUACACAUGCAAGUCGAACGGCAGCACGGGGGCAACCCUGGUGGCGAGUGGCGAACGGGUGAGUAAUGCAUCGGAACGUGCCCAGUAGUGGGGGAUAACUAGUCGAAAGAUUAGCUAAUACCGCAUACGACCUAUGGGUGAAAGCGGGGGAUUCGCAAGAACCUCGCGCUAUCGGAGCGGCCGAUGUCUGAUUAGCUAGUUGGCGGGUAAAAGCCCACCAAGGCUUCGAUCAGUAGCUGGUCUGAGAGGACGACCAGCCACACUGGGACUGAGACACGGCCCAGACUCCUACGGGAGGCAGCAGUGGGGAAUUUUGGACAAUGGGCGCAAGCCUGAUCCAGCCAUGCCGCGUGCGGGAAGAAGGCCUUCGGUUGUAAACCGCUUUUGGCAGGAACGAACGGCGCGAGCGAAUAUCUCGCGUUAAUGACGGUACCUGCAAGAAUAAGCACCGGACUAACUACGU